AACGCACAUUGCGCCUCUCUUCAAAAAGAGGCAUGCCUGUCUGAGCGUCAUUUGAAUCAAUGGACCCCAAUUGGGUGUCUCCGUUUUGGACUUCGCUGUCAAUAGCGUCGUCUCAAAGGCAUCGGUCUCACGAACGGAUGGGCUCCACUAGGACUGACCGUUCCGGGACCCUAAACUUGCAGGUUUGACCUCAGAUCAGGUAGGACUACCGCCUGAACUUAA
rnacentral:misc_RNA from 1 species